GAGGUCUAAAAGUCACAUCAAUCAGUUUCAACACCAAGAUUGGGGCUCUCUACAAGAUGUACAUCACUGGACAUCUCUUGGUCUCGAAGACUACACCAUUUCCUAGCCAACCAGAUGUGCUAGGGGAUGUAGACUACCUAGAUGGCAGCAUAUCUAGACUCAUCACCCCUACUCUUCGCCUCAAAAGAUCAAGGAACACCUCGGUCGGAUCUUCAAUUGGAAUAAUCUGAUGAUACUGACUCGCUAACAACCACACUUGUUUAGUCAAUGGCAUAAAAAAGGGUGUGCUCCAUCGUUUCCUCCUCUGCUCCGCAACAAGGGCAACAGCUCAAUAUCCAUACCCCUCUCCUUCAAAAUAGUUCUGAUCGGAAGCCAUUCCCAAACCACCUUUCAAAGAAAGAGGCUCAUCCUCGAACGCACCUUAAGCAAUACCAGAUAUUAUUGAGUAGC
rnacentral:lncRNA from 1 species